CCUACGGGUGGCUGCAGUCGAGAAUCUUUCACAAUGGGGGCAACCCUGAUGGAGCGACGCCGCGUGGAGGAUAAGGUCUUCGGAUUGUAAACUCCUGUCAUGCGAGAACAAGGUUGCAGGGCUAACACCUUUGCAAAUUGAUGGUACCGCAAGAGGAAGAGACGGCUAACUCUGUGCCAGCAGCCGCGGUAAUACAGAGGUCUCAUGCGUUGUUCGGAAGGGUGGGGCGGUGGGGUUGUAUAUCUGGCGUGAAAGCCCGGGGAUCAACCUCGGAAUUGCAUCCGAUACUGCCAUGCUGGAGUACUGAAGAGGUGACUAGAAUUCUAGGUGUAGCAGUGAAAUGCGUAGAUAUCUAGAGGAAUACCAACGGCGAAGGCAGGUCACUGGGCAGUUACUGACACUGAGGCACGAAGGCCAGGGGAGCAAACGGGAUUAGAUACCCCAGUAGUC
rnacentral:rRNA from 1 species